rnacentral:rRNA from 1 species
UACGUAGGGACCAAGCGUUGUCCGGAAUCAUUGGGCGUAAAGAGCGAGUAGGCGGCUUGUUAAGUCUUGCGUGAAAUCUCGGGGCUCAACCCCGAGCGGUCGUGAGAAACUGGCAGGCUAGAGUGCGGGAGAGGAGAGUGGAAUUCCUGGUGUAGCGGUGAAAUGCGCAGAUAUCAGGAAGAACACCCGUGGCGAAGGCGGCUCUCUGGAACGCAACUGACGCUGAGACGCGAAAGCGUGGGGAGCAAACAGG